rnacentral:rRNA from 1 species
AUCCUGGCUCAGGAUGAACGCUGGCGGCGUGCCUAAUACAUGCAAGUCGAACGCACAGCGAAAGGUGCUUGCACCUUCAAGUGAGUGGCGAACGGGUGAGUAACACGUGGAUAACCUACCUCAAGGUUGGGGAUAACAUUUGGAAACAGAUGCUAAUACCGAAUAAAACUUCGUAUCGCAUGAUACAAGGUUAAAAGGCGCUACGGCGUCACCUAGAGAUGGAUCCGCGGUGCAUUAGUUAGUUGGUGGGGUAAAGGCCUACCAAGACAAUGAUGCAUAGCCGAGUUGAGAGACUGAUCGGCCACAUUGGGACUGAGACACGGCCCAAACUCCUACGGGAGGCUGCAGUAGGGAAUCUUCCACAAUGGGCGAAAGCCUGAUGGAGCAACGCCGCGUGUGUGAUGAAGGCUUUCGGGUCGUAAAGCACUGUUGUAUGGGAAGAACAGCUAGAGUAGGGAAUGACUUUAGUUUGACGGUACCAUACCUGAAAGGGACGGCUAAAUACGUG